rnacentral:rRNA from 1 species
ACAAUGGGCGCAAGCCUGAUGGAGCAACACCGCGUGAGUGAAGAAGGGUUUCGGCUCGUAAAGCUCUGUUGUUAAAGAAGAACACGUAUGAGAGUAACUGUUCAUACGUUGACGGUACUUAACCAGAAAGUCACGGCUAACUACGUGCCAGCAGCCGCGGUAAUACGUAGGUGGCAAGCGUUAUCCGGAUUUAUUGGGCGUAAAGAGAGUGCAGGCGGUUUUCUAAGUCUGAUGUGAAAGCCUUCGGCUUAACCGGAGAAGUGCAUCGGAAACUGGAUAACUUGAGUGCAGAAGAGGGUAGUGGAACUCCAUGUGUAGCGGUGGAAUGCGUAGAUAUAUGGAAGAACACCAGUGGCGAAGGCGGCUACCUGGUCUGCAACUGACGCUGAGACUCGAAAGCAUGGGUGGCGAACAGGAUUAGAUACCCUGGUAG